UGAGCACCCUCCCCCUCUCCCGACCACUACAGCUCUGCUGGGGCGGAUCCCGCCCAGAGCCUAUUGAGUUUAAGGAGAAACAGAAAGCACCUUUCAAAAAAAACAAAAACAAAAACAGAAUCUGUCUCAGCUGCAGCACAGCAGUCCCGCUUCUCCCCAGGACCGAGACCAUGACGAGCUUGCCUAGGAAGCUGGAGUUGUUCUACGAUGUGCUCUCCCCAUAUUCCUGGCUGGGCUUUGAGGUCCUGUGUCGAUAUCAGAACAUCUGGAACAUCAACCUUCAUCUGCGCCCAAGCUUAAUCGCAGGGAUCAUGAAGAGCAGUGGGAACAAACCACCUGCUUUGCUACCCCAAAAGGGCAAAUACAUGUUCAUGGACCUCCAGCACCUAAGGAAGUUUUACCAGGUUCCUCUCCAGGCACCCAAGGAUUUCCGCUCUGUCAUAUUAGAAAAAGGGAGCCUGACUGCCAUGCGAUUCCUUACUGCUGUCAACCUGGAGAACCCUGAGAUGUUAGAGAGAGUGUCUCGAGAGUUGUGGAUGCGUGUCUGGUCACGAGAUGAAGAUAUCACUGAACCCCAGAGCAUCCUGGCUGCUGCAGAGAAAGCAGGACUUUCUAAAGAACAGGCUAAGAGUCUACUGGAAAAGUGUUCAACUGACAAAGUGAAGAACAGUCUAAAAGAGACGACAGAAGCAGCCUGCAAUUAUGGGGCCUUUGGGCUUCCCAUCAUAGUGGUCCAUUUGGAUAACCAAUUCCACAUGCUCUUUGGCUCUGACAGGAUUGAACUGCUGGCCCACCUGCUAGCUAAAGGGUUCAGUGGAUGUAGUUCUACAUUCAGGUCUACUAGUGGUGUGAUCCUGGAGUUACAAGGAUCAGAACCUAAUGUGCUGUAUAAAUAUGAGCUACUAUUCUUGGUGUGAGAGCAAGAGAAAGCUUCAUCUAAAGUGGUGAAAGUGAAGCUUGAAGUUAUCGUUGAAGGAUGAAAAGAUGUGAAGGAAGCUUGCCAUGGGUGCAGAGAAUGGCCUACAUAAAUGCACAGUGGUGACAAAGGACACGAUGAGAGGAGGAAAUAAUGAAAACUUCUAAAAAUAACUUAUGGCAUAUGUAUAAUCAUCACCAUGAGGGGACCUAUGAGGCCAGAAGCUGCUUGAGCCAAGCAACAUUUGUUCUUGCUAAGAAGAGAGACUUAGAAGCCAAGGACAAUCAUUUAGGAAUGGCUGAUGUAUGUGGAUAGAUAGAGAUAUAAAUACACAUAUAUGUACAUAUAUAACAUGUAUAUAUUUGUAUAUGUGUGUAUACACAUAUACAUACAUGUACAUAGACACAUAAAAACACAUACACAUAUACAUGUAAUAGGAUAUUACUGUGCCAAAAGAAACUACAAGGAGAAAGAAUUAAGAGAACACAGGAAGAUUUCUAGGAAAUGAUACAAGGUAAAGUGAGCAGAACCAGGAAAACAAUAUACAUUAUAUAAAUGGAGAGAUUGUAAAAAAAAAAAACCUAACUAGUGGGUAACAAGAUUAACCAAGUUUAGCCCCCCAAAAGAAAUGAAAGAUGUACUUUUCUCCUCUUUUCACAGAGAUGAGAUACUACAGGUACGGAAUAUUGUACAUAUUGUCAGAUUCGGUCAAUGUAUUGGUGACCUUUGUGGAAGUGCUUUAUUACUCUUUUUAUUUUUAUUUUAAUUCUUUGUUAAAAGGUGAUCAAAAAAAAUCAAUAAUUUUUUUUUCAAAAUAAUGAUCCAUUGAUUACCCUAUCCCACAUUACCUUAUUUAGGUAAGAACACUUCCUGAUUAAAUCAGAUUAAAUCAGAA